GUGCUCAUUUUGGCAGCAUGUAUGCUAAAAUUGGAGCAAUACAGAGAUUAGCAUGGACCCUGUGCAAGGAAAAAUAAAUCCUUUUAAGACAUUCAUCACUAAA